AACUGGUCCACCUCAUUUGCAGGUCUCACUUGCUGUGUGGAUAAUAUGUCUUAUUAUAGCGAGGCCCUUUUAAUAACUAUUAUCUGCUUCGUUAAACCCGACUAUAAAUGGCCCGAUUAAACCUGAUUAUCAGUUCAAAUUUUGAAAAGUAAAGAUAACGGUAAAAAAUAUAUAGAAGUACCUCAAUUGCUUCAAAAUUGAUCACCGACCAUGCCCUUGAGUCCUCGACAAUCCCUAGAGAAAUCAACAAAAGCAAUAACCAGAAAUUACAGUUGCUUUUAAAUUAUCGUCAUUCAAACCCGUGUGAAGAUUCAGUGAUGAUGUUGGGUCCUCGUUAUUGAAGAUCGGGUUGCUGCUGGUUCCAUCGAGCUUUUUCAUGUUCAGAUCUGGGCUAAAUGUCAAUGUUUGCAAGCGUUUUGAAAGCAUUGAAGAGCUUUCUCCUGAUAUGGGAAUCGAGGGUUAUAUCAAGACUACGAUGUCAAAGGUUGUUUCAUCAUAUGCUUUCAAGAACACUCGACAAUCAACACAAAACCUUUGUUCUCAAAUUUACGUGAUGCUUCCGUCGAGGACCCGGGAAGGAACUUUCAGUAGGAAAACUUGUAACUAGCAGGUAAAGCAGAUUUCCUGUCAAACAGACUCUGUAUUACUGUAUUUUCUGCUCUAACUGGCGGGUAGAAGUCACUUCGAAGAAAAUAAAUGCUGUGUUGGCCACCAAAAUCUGAAUCAUGUGACCUGAAGAAAUUCCAAUUAGGAGACAUAAUUAUUUCUGGGAGAAUUAAACUUGUAAGGUUUUGCGAGCUUUUAGGGCUUGUUCAUUGGAAUAGAUCAUACGGGCAUGGUAAAGAUCUAGUUUCUUGUAAACACUAUGCUGCUUGCCAAAUAGUUACUAGGGAGUAAACUAACUUGCCAUUUUAAUUGAUAUCAUUCUUGUUUUGUGGUAAGUUGGAUUAUGUCAUAAAUCAUAGCUUUUCUUAUGACUAUAUCGAAGAUGUACGGGCCAGA